rnacentral:rRNA from 1 species
CCUACGGGAGGCAGCAGUCGAGAAUCAUUCACAAUGGGGGAAACCCUGAUGGUGCGACGCCGCGUGGGGGAAUGAAGGUCUUCGGAUUGUAAACCCCUGGCAUGUGGGAGCAAAUUAAAAAGAUAGUACCACAAGAGGAAGAGACGGCUAACUCUGUGCCAGCAGCCGCGGGAAUACAGAGGUCUCAAGCGUUGUUCGGAAUCACUGGGCGUAAAGCGUGCGUAGGCUGUUUCGUAAGUCGUGUGUGAAAGGCGCGGGCUCAACCCGCGGACGGCACAUGAUACUGCGAGACUAGAGUAAUGGAGGGGGAACCGGAAUUCUCGGUGUAGCAGUGAAAUGCGUAGAUAUCGAGAGGAACACUCGUGGCGAAGGCGGGUUCCUGGACAUUAACUGACGCUGAGGCACGAAGGCCAGGGGAGCGAAAGGGAUUAGAUACCCCGGUAGUC